rnacentral:rRNA from 1 species
CCCUAUCCGGCGCGGGCGUAGGAUAUUUGAGAGGAGCUGUCCUUAGUACGAGAGGACCGGGAUGGACGAACCUCUGGUGUAUCGGUUGUCUUACCAAAGGCAUGGCCGAGUAGCCAAGUUUGGAAGGGAUAAACGCUGAAGGCAUCUAAGCGUGAAGCCCCCCUCAAGAUAAGAUAUCCCUGCCGAAAGGCAAUAAGACCCCUUGCAGACUACGAGGUAGAUAGGUCAGAGGUGGAAGUGUGGCAACACAUGGAGCUGACUGAUACUAAUAGGUCGAAGGCUUAAUCAA